AGAGUUUGAUCCUGGCUCAGAGCGAACGCUGGCGGCAGGCCUAACACGUGCAAGUCGAACGGACUCUUCGGAGUUAGUGGCGGACGGGUGAGUAACACGUGGGAACGUGCCUUUAGGUUCGGAAUAAGCCCGGGAAACUGGGUCUAAUACCGAAUGUGCCCUUCGGGGGAAAGAUUUAUCGCCUUUAGAGCGGCCCGCGUCUGAUUAGCUAGUUGGUGGUGUAAUGGACCACCAAGGCUACGAUCAGUAGCUGGUCUGAGAGGAUGACCAGCCACAUUGGGACUGAGACACGGCCCAAACUCCUACGGGAGGCAGCAGUGGGGAAUCUUGCGCAAUGGGCGAAAGCCUGACGCAGCCAUGCCGCGUGGAUGAUGAAGGUCUUAGGAUUGUAAAAUCCUUUCACCGGUGAAGAUAAUGACUGUAGCCGGAGAAGAAGCCCCGGCUAACUUCGUGCCAGCAGCCGCGGUAAUACGAAGGGGGCUAGCGUUGCUCGGAAUUACUGGGCGUAAAGGGAGCGUAGGCGGACAUUUAAGUCAGGGGUGAAAUCCCAGAGCUCAACUCUGGAACUGCCUUUGAUACUGGAUGUCUUGAGUGUGAGAGAGGUAUGUGGAACUCCGAGUGUAGAGGUGAAAUUCGUAGAUAUUCGGAAGAACACCAGUGGCGAAGGCGACAUACUGGCUCAUUACUGACGCUGAGGCUCGAAAGCGUGGGGAGCAAACAGGAUUAGAUACCCUGGUAGUCG
rnacentral:rRNA from 1 species